AUAAUGUCUUAUGUUUUUUUUGGUAUGUCUAAUGUGUCAGAUGACUAUUACGUGAAAAAAAUUGUUUAUCAAUAUUACCAAGUUAUCAGAACGCACAAAAAUAUACAGAAAGAAGGUCAUAUGAUAAAAUCAUAUUCACAAAACGUAAUAAUAAAAAAA
rnacentral:sRNA from 1 species